rnacentral:rRNA from 1 species
UACGGAGGGGGCUAGCGUUGUUCGGAAUUACUGGGCGUAAAGCGCCACGUAGGCGGCUUUGUAAGUUAGAGGUGAAAGCCCAGGGCUUAACCCUGGAAUUGCCUUUAAGACUGCAUCGCUAGAAUCGUGGAGAGGUGAGUGGAAUUCCGAGUGUAGAGGUGAAAUUCGUAGAUAUUCGGAAGAACACCAGUGGCGAAGGCGACUCACUGGACACGUAUUGACGCUGAGGUGCGAAAGCGUGGGAGCAAACAGG